UGCCUACGGGGGGCAGCAGUGAGGAAUAUUGGUCAAUGGCCGAGAGGCUGAACCAGCCAAGUCGCGUGAGGGAUGACGGCCCUACGGGUUGUAAACCUCUUUUGUCGGGGAGCAAAGAGAGUCACGUGUGGCUCAUUGAGAGUACCCGAAGAAAGAGCAUCGGCUAACUCCGUGCCAGCAGCCGCGGUAAUACGGAGGAUGCGAGCGUUAUCCGGAUUUAUUGGGUUUAAAGGGUGCGUAGGCGGACAGUCAAGUCAGCGGUAAAAAUGCGGUGCUCAACGCCGUACCGCCGUUGAAACUGGCAG
rnacentral:rRNA from 1 species